CACGGGGGGGGCAAGCGUUGUUCGGAAUUACUGGGCGUAAAGGGCGCGUAGGCGGUGCGGUAAGUCACCUGUGAAACCUCCGGGCUUAACUCGGAGCCUGCAGGCGAAACUGCCGUGCUGGAGUGUGGGAGGGGUGCGUGGAGUUCCCGGUGUAGCGGUGAAAUGCGUAGAUAUCGGGAGGAACACCUGUGGCGAAAGCGGCGCACUGGACCAUAACUGACGCUGAGGCGCGAAAGCUAGGGGAGCAAACAGG
rnacentral:rRNA from 1 species